GUCUCUUUGAUUAUUUUUAAUAAAGAGUUGGGCCUGCUCGGUGAGAUAUAAUUUAACAGCUGCGGUAUUAUACUGYACUAAGGUAGCAUAAUAAUUUGCCUUAUAAAUUAGGGCUAGAAUGAAUGGUUUGACGAAAAUUAAACUGUCUCUGUUUUAUUUAUUAGAAAUUAAUUUUUAUAGUGAAAAAGCUUGAAUGAUUUAAAGGGACGAAGAAGACCCUAUUGAGCUUAAUAUUAAUAUUUAAAUAUAGAAAAAUUUUUUUAUUUAUAAUUAUUUAUUUAUUAUAUAAUGUUAUUAAUAUAAUUUUGGUUGGGGUGAUCAAGGAAUAAAAUAAAUGUUAACUUCCUUAAAUUAUUAAUUUUUAUUGAGUAAUAAACCAAAUUUUUUUGCUAUAAGAUAAGUUACMAUAGGGGUAACAGCGUAAUUUUUUUUGAGAGUUCAUAUUGAAAAAAAAGAUUGCGACCUCGAUGUUGGAUUAAAAAUAACCUUAAGGUGUAGAGGCUUUAUUAGGUGAAUCUGUUCGAUUUUUAAAAUUUUAC
rnacentral:rRNA from 1 species